AUGGCACAGAUUCUGCUGGAGGAUGUGUACAGACAAAUCCAUGCUUCUGUGCAAAAAGGACCUUCGUCUCCGUUGAAUUUGCUUCCUACAUUCUGUGCCAUCAAACGAGAGCCACACCCCUAUUUCAUCUCCCAACUGCUUCCCGACGGUGGAGGCACUCCAGCUCCGGCGUCACAGCGGCAUGAUCUCGGCGGUGACCAUGGGUGGCGACUGCGACGACCCGUCGACCCCGUCCCUAGGGUUCUUGGUCUUGGCCUUGAUAAUUUCUAG
rnacentral:rRNA from 1 species